rnacentral:lncRNA from 1 species
UAUAUAGUUUAGAGAGUUGAAUUGGAAUACUAUUAAUAGUAUUUGAACUUUUUUGAUAUUGAUUUUUUAGCAGUUAGAUCUACACUUUGAUCAAUUUUAUCAUUUAGAUCAUACUAUCUAUCUAAUUACUCACUCAAUCUCAGAGGGAUCAUUACUAAAGCCAAGGGGACCACUAUCAUUCUAACACUAUAAUUUCUUAUUCAGGAGUUAAAAAAACUCGAUAACAAAAAAAGCCAAAUACUAUUAAUAUUAUUUCAACACAAUUAUAUAUAUAUAUAUAUAAGCAAAAUAAAGUGCAAAUUUUAAAGG